UGGGGAAUAUUGGACAAUGGGCGCAAGCCUGAUCCAGCCAUGCCGCGUGAGUGAUGAAGGCCCUAGGGUUGUAAAGCUCUUUCACCGGUGAAGCGGUAACCGGAGAAGAAGCCCCGGCUAACUUCGUGCCAGCAGCCGCGGUAAUACGAAGGGGGCUAGCGUUGUUCGGAAUUACUGGGCGUAAAGCGCACGUAGGCGGAUUGUUAAGUGAGGGGUGAAAUCCCAGGGCUCAACCCUGGAACUGCCUCUCAUACUGGCAAUCUCGAGUUCGAGAGAGGUGAGUGGAAUUGCGAGUGUAGAGGUGAAAUUCGUAGAUAUUCGCAGGAACACCAGUGGCGAAGGCGGCUCACUGGCUCGAUACUGACGCUGAGGUGCGAAAGCGUGGGGAGCAAACAGGAUUAGAUACCCCUGUAGU
rnacentral:rRNA from 1 species